GAUGAACGCUGGCGGCGUGCUUAACACAUGCAAGUCGAACGGAAAGGCUCCUGCUUGCAGGGGUACUCGAGUGGCGAAAGGGUGAGUAACACGUGGGUGAUCUGCCCUGCACUUCGGGAUAAGCCUGGGAAACUGGGUCUAAUACCGGAUAGGACCACAUUUUGGAUGGUGUGGUGGAAAGUUUUUCGGCGUGGGAUGAGCUCGCGGCCUAUCAGCUUGUUGGUGGGGUAGUGGCAUACCAAGGCGUCGACGGGUAGCCGGCCUGAGAGGGUGUACGGCCACAUUGGGACUGAGAUACGGCCCAGACUCCUACGGGAGGCAGCAGUGGGGAAUAUUGCACAAUGGGCGCAAGCCUGAUGCAGCGACGCCGCGUGGGGGAUGACGGCCUUCGGGUUGUAAACUCCUUUCGCUAGGGACGAAGCGCAAGUGACGGUACCUGGAGAAGAAGCACCGGCUAACUACGUG
rnacentral:rRNA from 1 species